AUUGAACGCUGGCGGCAGGCUUAACACAUGCAAGUCGAGCGGAGAGAGGUAGCUUGCUACUGAUCUUAGCGGCGGACGGGUGAGUAAUGCUUAGGAAUCUGCCUAUUAGUGGGGGACAACAUUUCGAAAGGAAUGCUAAUACCGCAUACGUCCUACGGGAGAAAGCAGGGGAUCUUCGGACCUUGCGCUAAUAGAUGAGCCUAAGUCGGAUUAGCUAGUUGGGGGGGUAAAGGCCUACCAAGGCGACGAUCUGUAGCGGGUCUGAGAGGAUGAUCCGCCACACUGGGACUGAGACACGGCCCAGACUCCUACGGGAGGCAGCAGUGGGGAAUAUUGGACAAUGGGCGGAAGCCUGAUCCAGCCAUGCCGCGUGUGUGAAGAAGGCCUUAUGGUUGUAAAGCACUUUAAGCGAGGAGGCUACUUUAGUUAAUACCUAGAGAUAGUGGACGUUACUCGCAGAAUAAGCACCGGCUAACUCUGUGCCAGCCGCCGCCGUAA
rnacentral:rRNA from 1 species